AUUGAACGCUGGCGGCAGGCCUAACACAUGCAAGUCGAACGGUAGCACAGAGAGCUUGCUCUCGGGUGACGAGUGGCGGACGGGUGAGUAAUGUCUGGGAAACUGCCCGAUGGAGGGGGAUAACUACUGGAAACGGUAGCUAAUACCGCAUAACGUCGCAAGACCAAAGUGGGGGACCUUCGGGCCUCACACCAUCGGAUGUGCCCAGAUGGGAUUAGCUAGUAGGUGGGGUAAUGGCUCACCUAGGCGACGAUCCCUAGCUGGUCUGAGAGGAUGACCAGCCACACUGGAACUGAGACACGGUCCAGACUCCUACGGGAGGCAGCAGUGGGGAAUAUUGAACAAUGGGCGCAAGCCUGAUGCGGCCAUGCCGCGUGUAUGAAGAAGGCCUUCGGGUUGUAAAGUACUUUCAGCGGGGAGGAAGGCGGUGAAGUUAAUAACUUCACCGAUUGACGUUACCCGCAGAAGAAGCACCGGCUAACUCCGUGCCAGCCGCCGCAGUAA
rnacentral:rRNA from 1 species